UUUGAUUUAGAAGCGAACUGUAGGACUUUGGAUUACCCUUUACAAAAAUCUUCACAUGGACUCGGGUUGGAAUCAAGGUGUAAUGGACACUAAAUGUCAAACUUCAGGCCUAACUGACAUGGACCCUGACUUUGCUAAAACUCCACAUUGACAACAGCUCGUAGAAUAUAAAAAUGCCCCCCUUGAUGCAUUCAGUAACUGUACACGAUACAAAAAUCAUUUGGUCACUGUGCACUGGACGUCUGAUGUACUGACCUCAAAUCAAUAAUUAUGGGUCAUUUACCAGUCAUAAGUGACUUCUGUAUCAAAUGUAAUCUUAGACCAAAGCAUUCUCUAGUUAUUGGGCAAAAACAGUUCUAGUGUUCUGGGUCAAUGUGACCUAGACCUUUGAUCAACUGACCUCAAAAUCAAUAGGGCUCAUCUGCUGGUCAUGAUCAACGUCCCUAUUUAGUUUCAUGAUCAUAGGUCUAAGAGUUCUCAAAUAAACAUCCAGAAACAGCUUAACUGUUUAAGCUCACUGUGACCUUGAGCUUUGACCUACUGAACUCAUAAUCUAUAGGGGUUAUCUGCUAGUUUUGACCAACCUUCCCAUUCACUUUCAUGAUCCUAGGCCCAAGAGCACUAGAAUUAUCAUCUGAAAACUGUUUAACUGUUCCAGGUCACUGAGAUCUUGACCUUUGACCUACUGGCCUCCAAGUCAAUAGGGGUCACUGCUGGUCAUAACCAACCUCCAUAUAAAGUUUCAUGAUCUUAGGCCCAAGUGUUCUUGAGUUACCAUCCGGAAACCGAUUGUUCUACAUACCAAACAACCAACAGACUGACAGACAGACUGACCGACAUCAGCAAAACAGUAUCACGUACUCAGGCUCCUUCAAAGGGUUUUGUUAAAAUGAGAAUAAGUACGCUGACUCCAGCUGGACAAAAAUAAUAUUCAGAGUGGUGUAUUCUGAAAAUUUGAAUUUUGGUUAUUUUGUGAGACAGAAUAUUUAUUAAUUAUUAUAUCAUUGUAUUAUAUUCAAUGUAAAUAUAAAUAAGUCACUUUUUCAAUCAACAAUUCUGAAAUACAGAAAAUGGUGGAAAAUAGGUGGCAACUAGUGGAAAUUGGCUGUACUGGCUGAAUCUGAAAAGAUCAUUUUUGAAUGUGUCCGCUGUGUAUUAUUUCUGCAUGAGUGAAAGUUGGUUAGAGAUAAGAUUAAUGAUAGAUCAAGUUACAAGCUCCCACACUAAUGUAUAGAAACAACCCCAGGUGGAAUUUGGGUCAGUUAAGAUUUAUAUAUGCAGGCAAACAUCAGGUCAGAUGCAAAGAAAUAGUUCUUGCCUUUUCUCUUCAUUGAUUGAAAAAAAAAAGAAGUGUAUAUAAAAAGGAUGUUUUUACAAUAGUUUUCAACUUAAGUAUUUGACACCUUCUUUAGCUGACCAAAAAAGUGUAUGUGUGGAAUAAAUUUAUCUGUGUAGUAAUACCAAAAUUUGAAAUCUGGCAUUUGAUGAGUCAGUCAGGGAGAAAAUGGAAACACAUUGUGAGAGGAACCUUCUGUGAAAAAAUGCAACUUUGUGACAUGAUCUGCCUGCCUGGCUGUAUAUACCUGAGCAGCAUACAGCUUAUUACUGCAUAAAAGAAACAUAUCAAGAUAAUUCUGAAUCAGAUUGUGUGCUGGAAAAAUGGCCUUACAUUCAAAGGAGUGAAAUUUGGAGAGUCAUUCACCAUCUACUUAAGCCAUCCUGGAAUAUGAAGAAAUAAGACUGCAUUGACAGCAUCCUGAUCCUGUGUUCAGAUCUUUUGUGAUUUCUUGUGAAGGGUCUUUGAUUUUUGCAUAAAAAUAAAAAAUAUAUUAAUAUAAUUUGAUUUUUGCUUACUACUGAUUUUUUUUUCAGAUUCAGCAGGUGCAGCCGAUUUACACUAGUUGCCACCUAUUGCCAGCUAUUUGGUGGCAUUUAGUGGAAAAUAGGACUGCCACCAUAGUGGCGUUUUGGUGAAAUUUUGUCCACUUACUGCCACCUAUUGGGGAUUGGUGGAAAUAAGUGGCAUUAGGUG